GCCUUAGUGGUGUAGUGGUAGUACGCUCGACGCGUACCCGAGAGGUCCGUGGUUCGAGUCCCGGCGACGGCA
rnacentral:tRNA from 1 species